CGCAGGCGCUCGGUAGGGUGCGAGGGAAGGGACAAUCUAGGUGGGGAUGGUGACGCGAGCGCGAGGAGGCGCUGUGGAGAUUGGAGAACCACAUCUGAAUGGGGAGCCGAGAUUCCCUGGGCGCAUGCAGUGCUGGAGACAAACUGAUCAUUCAUUCUGUCGUAGAAUGUUGGAAGAAAUCAUAGCCCAAAAUCAAAGACAGAAAAGGUGGAAUGGAUAAUCGAAUUAAUCAUGAUCCUAAUUCUAAAAGCAAAUACUAGUUGAACACAAAACAUACCAGCUUUGAAAGACAAAAGCAAAAGAAGGGAAUGAAGUGAAGGCAUGGAAAGACUUUUCCUAAACAUCACUAUACCUGCUACUUGUGCUGUGACCAGCCAUACCCAGGUGCUCUCAAAGGCAGCGGUUUAUAGAAGAAUCACCUUGAGGGUGACUUUAAAAAAAAAAGCUAUCUCUCGGAGGCGCCUGGCUGGGUCAAUUUGGUGGAGCGUGCAACUCUUGAUCUCAGGGUUGUGAGUUUGAGCCUGACAUUGGGUGUGAUUACUUAUUUAUAAAUAAAACUUAACAACAAAAAAGGUCUCUCU